rnacentral:rRNA from 1 species
UACGGAGGGUGCGAGCGUUGUCCGGAUUUAUUGGGUUUAAAGGGUGCGUAGGCGGUUUGAUAAGUCUGGGGUGAAAGCCCGUUGCUCAACAACGGAACUGCCCUGGAUACUGUCAGACUUGAGGACAGACGAGGUUGGCGGAAUAGAAGAUGUAGCGGUGAAAUGCAUAAAUAUCUUCUAGAACCCCGAUUGCGAAGGCAGCUGACUAGACUGUAUCUGACGCUGAGGCACGAAAAGCGUGGGGAGCGAACAGG